UGCGGUGGCCAUAUCUUCCUACGAAUGUCCGAUCCUGUCAAAUCUCAGAAGCUAAGUAGGGCCGGGCCUGAUUAGUACUUGGAUGUGAGACUGUCUUGGAAAACUAGGGACUCAGCCACUGAGG
rnacentral:rRNA from 12 species